rnacentral:rRNA from 1 species
UAAUACAUGCAAGUCGAGCGAGCGGAACCAACAGAUUUACUUCGGUAAUGACGUUGGGAAAGCGAGCGGCGGAUGGGUGAGUAACACGUGGGGAACCUGCCCCUAAGUCUGGGAUACCAUUUGGAAACAGGUGCUAAUACCGGAUAAUAAAGCAGAUCGCAUGAUCAGCUUUUGAAAGGCGGCGUAAGCUGUCGCUAAGGGAUGGUCCCGCGGUGCAUUAGCUAGUUGGUAAGGUAACGGCUUACCAAGGCGACGAUGCAUAGCCGAGUUGAGAGACUGAUCGGCCACAUUGGGACUGAGACACGGCCCAAACUCCUACGGGAGGCAGCAGUAGGGAAUCUUCCACAAUGGACGCAAGUCUGAUGGAGCAACGCCGCCGUGAGUGAAGAAGGUUUUCGGAUCGUAAAGCUCUGUUGUUGGUGAAGAAGGAUAGAGGUAGUAACUGGCCUUUAUUUGACGGUAAUCAACCAGAAAGUCACGGCUAACUACGUGCCAGCAGCCGCGGUAAUACGUAGUGGCAAGCGUUGUCCGGAUUUAUUGGCGUAAAGCGAGCGCAGGCGGAAA